rnacentral:lncRNA from 1 species
CCCCCUAAACCCCCCAAAAUCCCUUCUAUACCCCCCAUUUCCACCAUCAAUCCCCCAUAACAUGCUGUUAUUUAACCCAUCCUUUUCCCCCCCCCCAUAUACAGGUAUUAAGGAGCUGGGAUACGGGUUACCCUAAACGUAGCGCGGGCGAAUCCUUCCUCAUCUGCGGGACUCUUUACGUCACCAAUUCUCACCUGGCUGGAGCUAAAAUCUAUUUCGCUUAUCACACGUCGACUUCGAGUUACGAAUACACGGACAUCCCCUUCCAUAAUCAAUACUCUCAUAUCUCCAUGCUGGACUAUAACCCACGCGAGAGGGUCCUUUAUACCUGGAAUAACGGGCAUCAAGUGCUCUAUAACGUCACCCUAUUUCACGUCGUCGAGACGGAUGGGGAGAUCUGAGCCUUCCUGACCCUCGUUCAUGGUCUGCUCUGUGCUGCUGUGUCGCAUUGGGAGCCUUCAUCCUCCUCUUCCUCACUUAUUGCACAUUGGGGUUCCAUCAUGUCAUGCUUUAAGCCCUAACCUUUUCCUAUCUGCCUUCGUGCCAUGGUUGGAGCCUUCAUCCUCCUCUUCCUCCAUUGGUUUUGCACAUUGGGGUUCCAUCAUGUCACGCACUGAGUCCCAGCUCCCUUCUCUUUGUCUUUGUGCCAUGAUUGGAGCCUUCCUCCUCCUCCUCUUCCUCACAUUUGCCUUCGUGCCACGGUUGGAGCCGCCUUCUUCCUCCUCCUCCUCUUCCUCCUUCUCUUCCUCUUCUUCCUCUUCUUCCCUUCCUCUUCCUCUUCCUCCUCCUCUUUCUCUUCCCUUCCCCUUCCUCUUCCUCCUCCUCUUCCUCUUCCUCUUCCUCCUCCUUUUCCUCUUCCCCUUCCUCCUCCUCUUCCUCCUCGUCCUCCUCUUCCUCCUCCUCUUCCUCUUCCUCCUCCUCCUCUUCCUCCUUCUGACUUGCGGAAUCAAACUCUAUAAUCCAGAGAUGGGUUAUAAAGCAGGUAUGUUUAUUCCAGCGUUGCGCAGCGCCGGGUGCAAGGGGGAUAGCUCCACCAAACUUGCACACCGUAAAGAGAAAAGUGUGUUACAGAUAUAGGUUAAGCUAAUACAUAAUCAAUAGUCUCCUCCUCAGUUUGAUUACAU